rnacentral:lncRNA from 10 species
CUGGCUUCCACUUCCGUGGCUCACCAGGAAACUGUGAAGCACAUAUAAAAAUCCACAGGAAGUUGGAAAGAUUUUUUAUUACUAGCCUUGAGGCAAUUCACAUGCUUUUUGCAAAGCUGUUAUAAACUGACAAAUAUACAAGAUGGAUGAUAUUGUAACACACACCUAGAGUGAAAAUGGAGUGCAGAACAAAAUGAUCCACAUCAGAAGGGAAAGAAGUUAGUCAGAGAGGCUGAACAUCUGCAAGACUUUUGAACAGCAUCAGCUCUGGCUGGACAAACUGCAUGCAUUUUGCCUACACAGAAAAAGAUUACUUCUCUUCCAAAUAACCUUGCUCAACCUACAAAAGCUUGCCGUUUUAUUCAUCAGUGAGAGGCAGUUAGUCAAGAUUCUAGCUGCCAUUUGUGACUCAUCCACACCUGUGAAGUGAGUAGAUAAGUAACAUUACAAUAUAAAUAAAUUCAGACAUCAAGGAAGGCAAAUCGUGAUUAUUCCUCUAAUAGAAAGUGACUCAAGGGUGCGUAGGAACAUCUGGGACAUUGAUGUUCAUUUCAUGUGACUGUUAGAAGAGUGCUUCUAUUCUGAGAAUGUGACCCUGGUGUGGUGAAGUUUUCUGUGGAGCCUUUUGAAAUUUAUAGUCAGUGACGUGGAAUGUCCAUCCAGGAGGAGUCUGACAAAUGCUGUGCCAGUCGAGGUUCAGCACCGUAGGUGUAGCGCAGGCGAAAUACGGUGCUGGAGCUUUGAGUACAAGCUGAAACACCGCACACCACCUCCUCUCUCUACCAUUCAGAACACUCUUUACAAAACUAAAAAACUGCCCCCCAAAAAAAAGAAAAAUAUAAAUGCAAACAUAAUAAAAUAAAAGGAAUAUUUCCCAGCUUCUGGAAAGAAAGCCAAGCCAAUGAUCUCUCUUAUAGGUGACAUGGGAUAGAGGAUCCCAUUCCAGAUUCCCCCAGGUGCUCCAUGAAACAGCACAGACUCUGGUUUUCCAUCAUCUCAGUUCCGGGGCCUUAAGGCCUCCCCCUUACCUCUCCUCUGAGUUCCUGUGGAAUCCACACUCCAGAGGUGGCCGCCCCACAGCCUGGGGCCUCCCCAGGGAGCUCUCAUUUGGGACUGCCCCAGCUCUGAUGUGUCAGGAGAGGCAUUUGCCUUUAGCCACCUGUUCAUUUGGGGGAAUUCUCCUAUAGGCUCCCUGUGUUCCCAGUUCUACAUUCAAAUCAUUCUGGGUCUUUUGGUCCUUGUGAUAAAACAUGAAACAGCAGAAAUAAACGUUUAACUAUUAAAACAAAGAGACCAAUUAAUUAUUGUUGUGGAAGUAUGUGAUGCUAUAUUAAAAACUAUUUUGGAA